UACGUAGGCAGCGAGCGUUGUUCGGAGUUACUGGGCGUAAAGAGUGCGUAGGCGGUUUUCUAAGUUUGGUGUGAAAUCUCCCGGCUCAACUGGGAGGGUGCGCCGAAGACUGGAAGGCUAGAGUAUGGGAGAGGUAAGCGGAAUUCCUGGUGUAGCGGUGAAAUGACGUAGAUAUCAGGAGGAACACCGGUGGCGAAGGCGGGACUCUGGGCCGAUACUGACGCUGAGGAGCGAAAGCGUGGGGAGCAAACAGG
rnacentral:rRNA from 1 species